rnacentral:rRNA from 1 species
CCUACGGGAGGCAGCAGUGAGGAAUAUUGGUCAAUGGGCGCAAGCCUGAACCAGCCAAGUCGCGUGAGGGAUGACGGUCCUAUGGAUUGUAAACCUCUUUUGUCGGGGAGCAAGGCCCGCCACGUGUGGCGGGAAGGAGAGUACCCGAAGAAAAAGCAUCGGCUAACUCCGUGCCAGCAGCCGCGGUAAUACGGAGGAUGCGGGCGUUAUCCGGAUUUAUUGGGUUUAAAGGGUGCGUAGGCGGAAGGUUAAGUCAGCGGUAAAAUGUCGGUGCUCAACACCGGCCUGCCGUUGAAACUGGUCUUCUUGAGUGAGCGAGAAGUAUGCGGAAUGCGUGGUGUAGCGGUGAAAUGCAUAGAUAUCACGCAGAACUCCGAUUGCGAAGGCAGCAUACCGGCGCUCAACUGACGCUGAGGCACGAAAGCGUGGGGAUCGAACAGGAUUAGAUACCCUGGUAGUC